GCGCCCGUGGCUCGAACCCCCUCUCUUUUUCCUUUUUUUCCCUCUCCUCUCUUCUCUUUUUUCGCCGAGAGCAUCGGCAUCCUGCGCGGCGGGCGCUAGGGCCGGCGCCCAGAUCUCCCCCUCCCUCCUCCUCGCUCGCCCGCGUCGCUUGCUCGCGCCGCCCGUCGCGGCCGCCCUCGCCCGCACCAGCCACCACUGCGUGCUCUGGCGUACGUGAGGAGGGCGCCGCUCGCCCGUGCUGAAAGGCGCCGAGGCUGAAGCGGGCGCCUCCUGCGCGGGUGCGCCACACGUUUCCGGCCACCGCCGGCCGUGAGCCUCCCUCCCAUCCUCUCUCCCUCCCUCCCCUCUGGCGACGGCCUCUGCACGGGCGGUCCACCGGCAGAUCUUGGGGUGCCAGGCCUGGGGCCAGCGAGCCGUGGCCGGAUCUCGGGGCGGCCCAUCCCGGGCGCCGCCGCCAACAGGGGGAGGACGAGGUGGAGGCCACCGGGCACUGCACGGGCGGUCCGCAGGCGGCGGAACAAACGCCUAGGCCGCCAGCACUCGGUCCCCAUCCCGCUCGCGCCGCCCUCGCCCUCCCCGUCCCGCUCGUGCCGCCCUCACCCUCCCCGUCACGCUCGCGCCGCCCUCGCCCUCCUCCGCCAAGGCGCCAACCCACGCACCUCGUGCUCCACCCCUACCUCUCGUUCUGGGUGCUAUGGUGUUUGAUAGAUUUUUUUGGUGAGUUUUGCAGGAAAGGUUGGGUUGCGAAUCUAAUUUUGGGAAAAGGCAGGUGGCUUUCGCUGCCAUUGCAGCCAAUCUGUUCGAAUAUUUGAUUGCUUCAAACUUUUUGUUUGUACUCCUUUGAGCUCUUACCUACUGAAUAUUGAUUCCUUUGUGCCCUUUUGCAUAUCCUGGUGAUCUCUACCACUCUGCAAUUCUGUCUUGCAUUUCUUUUUUUUUAAGUAACUGUCUUGCAUUUCUGACUUAGAUCUCUAGGGGCUCUUCACUUCACUUCUUGCUGGAUUCGAACCUGGGACCUGUGUCAAUGUUAGUGGGACUAAUAUGUCAAGUCAAUUCAGUCUCAUGAUUUCCUGCCUUGGUCUCAAGAAUGAAGAAAUAAAAUUCCAAUUGGGGGCAAUGAUCAACAAUGAUGUCUGAGAUAAGCACCUUUGAUUAAUGAGGGUGGCUGUUGGCAUUUAAGUGGAAUCCUCUGUCCUCUCUUGUAAACCUUUCAACUAUGCUCAAAUGGUUUUGUUCUUGGAUGGUCAUGCCAUUUUUCAUGGAUGAUAACCAGGACAACUCCACUUAUUUGAACAGGUUGAUCUGGUGAUAAGAGAAGGCGCGGAUAUAGUUAUAUGAUCGAGCAAAGGUGAAGCUGAGCCCACUCAAAUAUUUUACUGCUACCCACACAGUACCUUAUGUAAUUUGUUUCUUUAGUUGAAUAUGUUUUUUGUAUAACUUUUUUGCUAAAUUAUUUUCCUUUUCUUACACCUGCCUAACUUCAUGCAGUUACCUUCUACCUUGCUGCAAUAUCAGUGCUUCCCCUGCAUGAAAAUACUUUCAGUUACCUUCUGUUAUCUCAAUAUUUCUCGCAAUGAUUCUAUUGCUUUUUAGAAUCCCUGAAUUGCUGUUACCUUUAGUGUUUUGCUCAAUUUGCUGCAAAACUAGGAUGGCUUGUACCAUUACAAGUAACCAGUUUUGCAACUAAUUGUUGUCAUUUCUACUGCUUCGACGGCGGCGGCGGCGGUUGUGUAGCAGUAGUACAUAUUGCAAUGAAUGAUCCUACUUAAAAAGUUCAUUUCAGAGGGAGGGAGGGAGUACAUGGUUAAAUUAAAUUUGUGUAAUUUAUUUAGAUUAAAUUACUUGAUUUAGGAGAUUAGCUUUGUCAACGAAACAAGGACAAUAGCCACUUCUCAUUUGAGUUCAUUAUUCUGACAUUUGGCAGCUACUUUUGCCACCCCAUACUAUAUCUCAUAAUGAUGCCUUUUCUUUUUCGUGCCAUAUUCAAAUGCUAGCUCGAAAUCUAUUAAAUCUGUUACUCACGCAUAUUCAUCUCUAGCUAGUAGAGCUGUCUUUCUCUCCUGCAUAUCACUUGUUCAAUAUAAAAGCAUGACUUAAUGAGUUUUUUCCAGAAGUGACCAAUAUUCAUAUCAUAAAGAUAUUCAAUGGUGAUGAAGCACGCUAUAUAAACGAGUUGGCUGAAUGAAGAAUCAUAUGGCUCUGAAUCAAUCAAUUGAUGAGAUACUUUAAAGAAAAUAUAUUGGACAGACACCUUUGCCAGUUCUACUUUUGUUCAAAACCAGUCCAACAUACAGUUAAGAUUUGUUGUUCUGAUGAUUUACUAUGGCGGUGCUGUUCCCAGAUCUUUGAUCCGCAGAGAAAAGGACAGAAACAUUAGGUAAUCCUUUGAACUUUGUCGUAUUAGGUAAUCUCUUUGGCUUGAUUCAGUCUCUAUUUUUCAUUUGCUGCUGCUGCUGAAUGUUUAUUAAACCAAAGGAUUAUUUGUUUACCAUUUUUUAAGUGCAACCAUCCUUUUGGGUAUACCAGCAUACAUCAAACCAUGGCCCUCUGGACCGAUGUGGACUUUAAGCUGAAAGCUGCUUACUUGAAAAGAUAUCACUGGACCAUGCUGAAAGCUGAAAGCUGAAAUAUUAAGUAGACUGUUUUAGCUUGCUAGGUUGCCAAAUGUUACAUAUUCUUAGAAAAAUGGACUUUUUACCCUCAACAUAAUAACUGUUACAUAUCCUUUGUGUGAAACAUAUAUUUCUCAUUUUGGACUAUGGAUCGGAUCAUGUGUUCUUUUUUAUGUCUAAAAUUUAUCCGUGGCGUUAGCACGCGCUGCGAAUCUGAUUUUGGGAAAAGGCAGGUGAUUUCACCUCAUCUCUUUCCCUUUCUUUUGAUUUCAUGUCAAUCUGAUUAGUGUAAGUUGUAAUGCUUGUUUGUUUCUAAACAUGACUCAAUCUUUACUCUUUAGUGACCAUAUGGAGUGAUGAUUAAAUCAGUGGACUGAUGGUUUCAUGGUUCAAUCAACUACAUGGUUUCAAAUGCUUCAUAUAUGAGCUCCUUUUAUAUUCAGUUGUUGCCUUUUUGUUUUGCCAUAUUCAACGCCAUCCAACGAUCCAUGUUUUAAGGAUCAUCAUGAUCAAAUGAUGAUAAUAUUUUUCUGAGACCCCUAAGACCUGUUCUUUGUCUUGUUAUGUUAACAAGACAUGGUGGAUAACUGGAUAUGCUCUGAUGAUCAAAUAUCUUGUGAGAAACGGCUGAAACAAGUGGAGGCCUAGAGAGGACUGGGCUAUCAUCAGUAAUAGAUAUACUGGCACAUGAUGUCCAUGAGCUUCUUACAAGGUAAAGCAAUCCGGAGAAGGUAAAUUGCAGUAUGGCAUUUUCACUUUGGAACAAUUCUAGCUGAAUUUGGUCUCUGCCUGUUAUAAAAUGUGAUUCAGCUCAAACAUUCAUGAACAUGCUGUUCAGAUGCCAUAUGUCGAGAAUAAUUUAUUAGCUCAGAUACCGAGCUUC